rnacentral:misc_RNA from 1 species
CAGAAAUGAUGAUAAGAAGCUGAUAUCCCAUGAGGCUUAAGGCACAUCAUAUGGGCAAAAAAAUCCAAAACUCUCCACCCCCACCCCAUCCGCACGCAUCUAUCUUCCUCGCUGCACGAAACUAACCAGAAUCUCCAUAGCCUAUUACCCCAAAAAAAUCAGUUACAGAACAGAACCAUGGAGAUUUCAUCUGUUACUCUCUCCUUCUCAAGACCCCCAAUUGCUCUCCCCUUCUCUUCUUCUCAUUCCACCUUCUUCAACACCACCACUCUUUCAAAUGCAACUAAAAAGUCUAGCAAUAAUUCUCUGGUUCUAGCUAAAACCAGAAACAGAAGUUUGAGAACCAGAAAGGGUCUCACUUGCAAUGCUU